rnacentral:sRNA from 1 species
GUCAGGCAUGGUGACGCAUGCCUGUAAUCCCAGUGGCUCUGGAGGCUAAGGCAGGAGGAUCUCGAGUUCAAAGCCACCCUCAGCAAAACUGAGGCACUAAACAAUUCAGUGAGACCCUGUCUCAA